AAAGUGAAGUUGAGCGAUGGAGAGAAGAAAGAGCUUUGAGAGAAGUGGAGAAGCGCAAAGUGAGAGAGACGGAAGCGCUAUUCCAUUUUGUUUUUUUUUCUUAUUUUCUUUUUUUUCAAUUUAUUAUUAAACAGAAUAAGUAGUUUUAAAAAACAUUAAAAAGAUUCCUUUAAUUUUCCUAGGUUAGUAGUUGAUAAAUGUUUUAGGUUUUCAAUUUAUUCCCCA
rnacentral:lncRNA from 1 species